rnacentral:rRNA from 1 species
GCGUGGGUGAAGAAGGUCUUCGGAUCGUAAAGCCCUUUCGACGGGGACGAUGAUGACGGUACCCGUAGAAGAAGCCCCGGCUAACUUCGUGCCAGCAGCCGCGGUAAUACGAAGGGGGCUAGCGUUGCUCGGAAUUACUGGGCGUAAAGGGCGCGUAGGCGGCGGCCCAAGUCAGGCGUGAAAUUCCUGGGCUCAACCUGGGGACUGCGCUUGAUACUGGGUUGCUUGAGGAUGGAAGAGGCUCGUGGAAUUCCCAGUGUAGAGGUGAAAUUCGU